CGCGAAUGGCUCAUUACAACAGCUAUAAUUUACUUGAUCUUGACUUCCUACUUGGAUAACUGUGGUAAUUCUAGAGCUAAUACAUGCACCAAAGCUCCGACCUUACGGGAAGAGCGCAUUUAUUCGAACAAAACCAAGCGGCUUCGGCCGUCCGCAGUUGACUCAGAAUAACUAAGCUGAUCGCAUGGUCUUGAACCGGCGACGUGUCUUUCAAGUAUCUGCCUUAUCAACUUUCGAUGGUAGUGUACCUGACUACCAUGGUGGUGACGGGUAACGGAGGAUAAGGGUUCGACUCCGGAGAAGGGGCCUGAGAAAUGGCCACUACGUCUAAGGAUGGCAGCAGGCGCGCAAAUUACCCACUCUCAGAAUGAGGAGGUAGUGACGAGAAAUAACGAGACCGUUCUCUACGAGGCCGGUCAUCGGAAUGGGUACAAUUUAAACCCUUUAACGAGUAUCUAUGAGAGGGCAAGUCUGGUGCCAGCAGCCGCGGUAAUUCCAGCU
rnacentral:rRNA from 1 species